rnacentral:rRNA from 1 species
CAGUCGCCGCGGUAAUACGAAGGGGGCUAGCGUUGCUCGGAAUGACUGGGCGUAAAGGGCGCGUAGGCGGUUUGUACAGUUGGAUGUGAAAUUCCUGGGCUUAACCUGGGGGCUGCAUUUGAUACGUGCGGACUUGAGUGUGAAAGAGGGUCGUGGAAUUCCCAGUGUAGAGGUGAAAUUCGUAGAUAUUGGGAAGAACACCGGUGGCGAAGGCGGCGACCUGGUUCAUGACUGACGCUGAGGCGCGAAAGCGUGGGGAGCAAACAGGAUUAGAUACCCCUGUAGUCCCUGUCUCUUAUAC